rnacentral:rRNA from 1 species
GCAUGUCGAACGAAGCACUUGUGCUUAGUGGCGAAUGGGUGAGUAACACGUACUUAAUCUACCCUUUAGAUUGGGACAACAGUUGGAAACGACUGCUAAUACCGAAUAUGUACUUUUACCGCAUGGUAUUUGUAUAAAAGGAGCGUUUGCUCCGCUUUAGGAUGAGAGUGCGUCGCAUUAGUUAGUUGGUAGGGUAAAGGCCUACCAAGACGAUGAUGCGUAGCGGGGUCGAGAGGCUGAAC